rnacentral:rRNA from 1 species
GACGAACCGAGCGAACGUUAUUCGGAAUCACUGGGCUUAAAGGGCGCGUAGGCGGGCGAUCAAGUCAGGGGUGAAAGCCCCCAGCUCAACUGGGGAAGUGCCUCUGAUACUGGUCGCCUCGAGGGAGGUAGGGGCGUGCGGAACUUCCGGUGGAGCGGUGAAAUGCGUAGAUAUCGGAAGGAACGUCGGUGGCGAAAGCGGCGCGCUGGACCUCUUCUGACGCUGAGGCGCGAAAGCCAGGGGAGCGAACGGG